CGUACACUCCUGCGGGAGGCAGCAGUGGGGAAUUUUGGACAAUGGGCGAAAGCCUGAUCCAGCCAUGCCGCGUGCAGGAUGAAGGCCUUCGGGUUGUAAACUGCUUUUGUACGGAACGAAACGGCCUUUUCUAAUAAAGAGGGCUAAUGACGGUACCGUAAGAAUAAGCACCGGCUAACUACGUGCCAGCAGCCGCGGUAAUACGUAGGGUGCAAGCGUUAAUCGGAAUUACUGGGCGUAAAGCGUGCGCAGGCGGUUAUGUAAGACAGUUGUGAAAUCCCCGGGCUCAACCUGGGAACUGCAUCUGUGACUGCAUAGCUAGAGUACGGUAGAGGGGGAUGGAAUUCCGCGUGUAGCAGUGAAAUGCGUAGAUAUGCGGAGGAACACCGAUGGCGAAGGCAAUCCCCUGGACCUGUACUGACGCUCAUGCACGAAAGCGUGGGGAGCAAACAGGAUUAGAAACCCCUGUAGUCCCAUG
rnacentral:rRNA from 1 species